AAACUACUCCCUCCGUCCGGAAAUAGUUGUCAUCAAAAUGAAUAAAAAGGGGUGUAUCUAGAUGUAUUUUAAUUCUAGGUACAUCCUUUUUAUCCAUUUUGAUGACAAGUAUUUUCGGACGGAGGGAGUACUAA
rfam:Triticum aestivum genome assembly, contig: Triticum_aestivum_CS42_TGACv1_scaffold_499480_6BL